AGCUGAUCGCAAGAUCAGUCGAUAGACCAAGAGACCUUAGGUCGGACUCUUGGAAUAUCUCCUCAUCAGGCUAAUCACGGUUUUUGACCCGGCUCUUUGGCCGGGUCUUUUUUU
rnacentral:sRNA from 1 species